rnacentral:rRNA from 1 species
UACGUAGGGGGCAAGCGUUGUCCGGAAUCAUUGGGCGUAAAGCGCGUGUAGGCGGCCUUGUAAGUCCGUUCUGAAAGCCCGGGACUCAACCCCGGGAGGCGGAUGGAUACUGCAGGGCUCGAGUACGGAAGAGGCGAGUGGAAUUCCCGGUGUAGCGGUGAAAUGCGCAGAUAUCGGGAGGAACACCAAUGGCGAAGGCAGCUCGCUGGGACGUUACUGACGCUGAGACGCGAAAGCGUGGGGAGCAAACAGG